rnacentral:ncRNA from 13 species
GGUUCAGUAGCUCAGUUGGUAGAGCAUUUGAUUGAAGCUCAAAGUGUCGGCAGUUCAAUUCUGUCCUGAACCA